CCUACGGGUGGCAGCAGUGAGGAAUAUUCGUCAAUGGGCGCGAGCCUGAACCAGCCACGUAGCGUGAAGGAUGACUGCCCUACGGGUUGUACACUUCGUUUAUAAAGGAAUAAAAUUAGUCACGUGUGCCUUUUUGUCUGUACUUUAUGAUUAAGGAUCGACUAACGCCGAGCCAGCAGCCGCAGUCAUAAGGAAGAUCCGAGCGUUAUCCGGAUUUAUUGGGUUUAAAGGUAACGUAUAUGGGUUGUUAAGUCAGUUGUGAAAGUUUGCGGCUCAACCGUAAAAUUGCAAUUGAUACUGGCAGCCUUGAGUACAGGUGAGGUAGGCGGAAUUCGUGGUGUAGCGGUGAAAUGCUUAGAUAUCACGAAGAACUCCGAUUGCGAAGGCAGCCUACUAAACUGCCACUGACAUUGAUGCUCGAAAGUGUGGGUAUCAAACAGGAUUAGAUACCCGUGUAGUC
rnacentral:rRNA from 1 species